rnacentral:rRNA from 1 species
AGUGAACGCUGGCGGCGUGCUUAACACAUGCAAGUCGAACGAGAACGGAUUAUAGCUUGCUAUAAUUGUCAGCUAAGUGGCGCACGGGUGAGUAAUGUAUAGGUAAUAUGCCUCUUACUAAGGGAUAACAAAUGGAAACGUUUGCUAAUACCUUAUACUCCUUAUUAACAGAAGUUAAUAAGGGAAAGAUUUAUUGGUAAGAGAUUAGCCUGUAUUGUAUCAGUUAGUUGGUGGGGUAAUGGCUUACCAAGACUAUGACACAUAACUGGUUUGAGAGGAUGACCAGUCACACUGGAACUGAGACACGGUCCAGACUCCUACGGGAGGCAGCAGUGGGGAAUAUUGCACAAUGGACGAAAGUCUGAUGCAGCAACGCCGCGUGGAGGAUGACACAUUUCGGUGCGUAAACUCCUUUUAUAUGAGAAGAUAAUGACGGUAUUAUAUGAAUAAGCACCGGCUAACUCCGUGCCAACCGCCGCCGUAAGAC